rnacentral:rRNA from 1 species
GCUUGUCUCAAAGAUUAAGCCAUGCAUGUCUAAGUAUAGUACCUUAUACUGCGAAACUGCGAAUGGCUCAUUAAAUCAGUUAUAAUUCAUUUGAUGGUACUUACUACUCGGAUAACCGUAGUAAUUCUAGAGCUAAUACAUGCACAAAAUCCCGACUUACGAAGGGAUGUAUUUAUUAGAUACAAACCAACAUCGUGGUGAUUCAUAAUAACUUUGCGAAUCGUAUGCCUCACGGCGACGAUGAAUCAUUCAAAUUUCUGCCCUAUCAGUUGUGGAUGGUAGGGUAUUGGCCUACCAUGACUUUAACGGGUAACGGAGAAUUAGGGUUCGAUUCCGGAGAGGGAGCCUGAGAAAUGGCUACCACAUCCAAGGAAGGCAGCAGG